CUUUUUGAAGCUGAGCAGCAGAGUAUCAUGUGGAACUAAGAGGCCAGGGAGAAAAUUUUCUAUGCUUCAAAUACAUGCCCAGACAGCCAGCAAUCUCUGAUAUUCCACACCUAUUUAUUUUUUUAAAGAAGAUAUCAUAGAACACUAGUGAUGCAGAAGAGAUAAAAUUGUUUUUCAUUUCUAUUAAAAUGGUAAUCCAUAUAAUUUAAAAUCAACACUGGGACCAAAACACUUUAUUAGUCUGAAAAAAGCUAUGUUGGCUAAAAUUUUGUCAACUUUGUUUAUAUUUGAUUCAUUAAAGCUGGUUGUAGUUGGUCUGUUCAAUUUUUUCUACUAAAAUACAACAAUACAUUGGAGUGACUAUUGAAUAAUUAUCCUGGUACAAAAAAUAUGUACGUUAAGAAUAAAUAUGCAUACCAUUUCCCUACAGAGUUGUUUUUAAAUUAUAAACCCACAAAAACAAGGUUGAUGAAAGCUUAAAAU